GUCUGUAGGGAAAACAUUUUUAACAUUGAGAUAAUUUGUCUGAAUCUGCUUUCUCUCCAUGUUACUCAGACUAUGCUGUAAAACAUGAAUAGGAAAUGACUGCAUGUUAAAUAUUUAUCUAUAUCAUAGAUCUGUAACGGCCAACAAAAUAAUGUAUUGAAUUAAUAGUGUCAGAGAGGCCUUGCAUGAUGUUGUCUAAAUGGUAGGUGGCGUAUCAAUAACAAAUAAGUCCAAACUCAUGCAUUAGUGAGAAGUGGGACACAUUCUGCAACUUAGAAAUCAACCUAUUUCAUAUUAAUAUAUUGAAGAGAUACUUUGCGAUUUUGGGACAUGAGGCACUUUAUCUACUUCCCCAAAGUCAGGUGAACAAAUGUUUGUGGCUCUGUGUCCAGAAUGAAGAAAGUUAGCAUUGGCUUGUGAAACUACCUCUAACGUUAGUGCAACUGCUAAAUACCGUUAGCGCAAUGACUAACAAUCUUUGGGUACAACUCGUUAGCAUUGGCUCUCAAAAGUACCACUAACUUCCUUCAUACUGGGCGCAUAUACUUAAAAAUGGUAUCCAGGAGUUCAUCUGACUCUGGAGAAGUAGAUAAAGGGCUUCAUUGACAAAAUCUUGAAAUAUCCCUUUAACACAUCACCACCCGAACUCAAGUAGUUCGGACCUCUUGGUGUAAUGAUUAAGGUGUUGUCUUGACAGCUGCUAGAUCCAGCUUUGAGUCCCGGUCGGGGCUAUCCCCCGGAUUCGCUACCAUAUCAAGAAAAUAAAUCAUAUGUAUUUCCUUUUUCAUUCGUUCGUGUAUUGUUCUUUUGUUGUUGUAUAAUCGUAUUAUAAAAUUGUAUGACCGUCCUUGUCUAUCAGUGAGUGUUUAAGUGUUUUGUUAGUUGUCAAGAUAUGUUUGUUUUUUUUGCACCCCAGGAUGAGUAACGUUAGCUGCUGCUAAACAAAUAAACAAACGUGUGUACAAUUGCAGUAGUCAUUAUCAGUAUAUAGACUACUGUAUAAUUGCAAACACAUGACAAACAUAACAUCUUCUUGGCACAUGUUUUACUUUGUGAUUUAAAAAAUGAGAUAAUGCUAUGCCUUGUUGGUCUAAGCAAAGUAAAAAAGCUCAAUAAUGUAUGUAAUGUUUCCUUACAAAUGUGUGUUGUUAUUGCACCGUUCCUGGCCUGUAAGUGCGCAAUAGCUUUCCAGUAACCGAUACAAUGGAUGGAGGAACGUAAAGGGCGACUAUAAAUACUACAUUGCAAUUACAACAGAUAGACUAUUAUGCUAAUAGACCACAGCAGUAUAUAUGGCUCUAGGACCCGAGAGGGUGGUACGGCUUGUAACAAUAUUCCAUGUAACUUCUUCGCAGAAUCUUUCAACCCCAGGAACUGUUCUGCCGCUUCCACAAUGAUUUUUGUCUUCCUGGACCUUUUCUCCACCUUGGCAGAGCCAUUUAUCAUCAUAUCUAUAAACAUCCACCUUCCUAACUUUUUAAAUACCUUGGUCCUGCUGGUGAAAGGAAACCCCUGCAGCCUGCAGUGAAGGCCUAUCCACAACCAUAUUACUCUUCAAGUGCACCAUUCAAACCCUCAACCCUUUUAACAGCUGCUGCAUAUGAAAUGCCCUGACAUGAUCGGAUAUGAAAAGCCAACUGACAUUUACUCCUGAGGUGCUGACCUGUUGCACCCUCUACAACCACUGAUUAUUAUUUGACCCUGCUGGUCAUCUAUGAACAUUUGAAUAUCUUGGCCAUGUUCUGUUAUAAUCUCCACACAACACAGCCAGAAGAGGACUGGUCACCCCUCAUAGCCUGGUUCCUCUCUAGGUUUCUUCCGAGGUUUUGACCAUUCUGGGGAGUUUUUCCUAGCCACCGUGCUUUUACACCUGCAUUUUUUGGCUGUUUGGGGUUUUAGGCUGUGUUUCUGUACAGCACGUUGAGAUAUCAGCUGAUGUACGAAGGGCUUUAUAAAAUACAUUUGAAAUUUGAUUUGACAGGGUAAUGUGGGAUGAUCAUUUCUUGCAUGAACUAAAAUAACACAUUAUAGAUGGCUCUAGGCCAGAGAAUGGCGUUAACAGGAGCAGCUGCAGAAGUGAUGUCCUACUGAAUAUUGUAGGCCUGCAGUAUGGGAUGUGCGUUUCAAAAAUGUAUAUUGUUAUCUCAUAGUUCAAUUAUAAAAAUAAAAAUAUAGAUUUUUUUAUUAUAUGUAUUUAUUUACCAUCACCAAAUCAUCUGAUUUACUUUCACAUUUAAACAGCCCAAUGUUAUUUAAUGAAAUUUGUUGAAGGACAGAAAUCAGGUCAGAGGUCUGAGAAUGACAUAUGAGGUACAAAAAAAAUGAUAGAAAAAACAAAGUUAUUAUUGCAUUGUUACUUGAUGUACGAGUCAAAUCCUUCAAAUGUAAUUUAUUGGGUCUCCAUCUGAUCGCACUCUUUGAUUUCAGAUUGUGGGAUUGUUAAUUGUUAUGGUUUUCCAGAGGAAAAUAAUCUUGAAUUCAUAGAGUGAAAGAAUCCAUGGUAAUGGAAUUUUACUUACAUUCUUUGUUUAAUUCUAUCCGGGAACAAAAAAUAUUAAAGCAACAUGUAAAGUGUAGGUCCCAUGUUUCAUGAGCUGAAAUAAAAGAUCCCAGAAAUGUUCCAUAAGCACAAAAAGCUUAUUUCUCUCAAAUGUUGGGCACAAAUUUGUUUACAACCCUGUUAGUGAGCAUUUCUCCUUUGCCAAGAUAAUCCAUCUACCUGACAGUUGUAACAUAUCAAGAAGCUGAUUAAAUAGCAUGAUCAUUACACAGGUGCACCUUGGGAAAAUAAAACAGGUGCUGGGGACAAUAAAAGGCCACUCUAAAAUGUGCAACUUUGUCACACAACACAAUGCCACAUAUGUCUUAUGUUUUGAGGGAGCAUGCAAUUGGUAUACUGAGUGUAAUAUCUACCAGAGUUGUUGCAAGAUAAUUUAAUGUUCAUUUCUCUACCAUAAGCUGCCUGGAAAGUCAUUUUAGAGAAUUUGGCAGUUCGUUCAACCGGCCUCACAACCGCAGACCACGUGUAACCACGGCAGCCCAGGACCUACACAUACAGCUUCUUCACCUGCGGGAUUGUCUGAGACCAGCCACCCAGACAGCUGAGGAGUAUUUCUGUCUGUAAUAACACCCUUUUGUGAGGGAAAACUCAUUCUGAUUGGCUGGGCCUGGCUCCCAAGUGGGUGGGCCUAUGCCCUCCCUGGCCUAGUCAUAGCUGCGCCGCUGCACAGUCUUGUGAAACCCAUAGAUUAGGGACUAAUUAAUAUAUUUAAAUGCACUGAAGUAUAUUGAGUUAGAGUUUUUUUGGGGGGGGGGAUACAAAUGUUGUUCUUACUCAAUCCACCCAGGGGCAGGAUUGGACACGCCAUAUGUUAAACACCCCUGCUUUCGAGUUUCCAGUAUAAAACCAUCAGUAUACAUACAUAUACUUGCACUAUUAAUAGGCCGCAAAGAGGCAUUGCAUCUGUGCUAGAGAUUAACUAGAGACUUUAAUGAAUACAUUUAUUCUAAAUCCAAUUCAUAAUGACUUUUGAAUGAGAACUUAUUUAUCAUUCAUCAGUUACUUAUUUAGAUGACCCAAACCCGAAAGGGUGCAAUUGAUGCAGAGAGGGAGGUUGAUAUAUACAGACCUUUACCAGGUAACAGUUCUUGGUUCUCAUCAGUAUCUUCAUGGCUGCCAGUUGGAGAUCCCUCCUAACUAGAACCUUCACUAGAACUUUCACUCGAACCCUGACCUGAAAAAAUAACAGCAAAACAGUCAAACCCCAUCACCUACACAGUUUACCUGUUAGACCUAGUCAAAACCAAUGUUAUAAAAAACAUUAUUACCUAUUAUGCUUAUAUUAUCACAAAUAAAGAAAAAUAUGACAUCAUAUUACUGUCAUGUUUCUCUAUCUUUCCCCACUGUAAUUCUUUCUCUCUCUCUAUCGGUUAUUAAAGUCAGAAAUAUACUUUAAAAUAUAUAUAUAUUUUUAUAUGUAUUAAAAGAUAAGUCAACUGACGUUGAACUUUAAAAAUGUUUUGGCUUUUCCCAAAGUCAUUGUAUUCUGCCACAAUAAUUAUUCUCUAUGAGGCUCUUAUGUGGGAACAUGACAACAUUUAUCAGUAAGUUGUUUUGAUCUUGAAGGAGGAUAUUAAUCCUUUUCAAUCUUCAUACUAAAGCUGAAAGUAUGUGAAGUACACCUAGAAAGUAUGUGAAGAACACCUAGGUUCAUUGUGUCAAACAGCAUGCUUGUUAUUCUUCAGUGUUUUACUUCCUUGACAAACCUGUUCUGGAUCAGAACUACAGUAACUCCUCUGUCUGCCCUGUUUAUGACUAAUGUACCAUGUGAUUUAUGAUAAGGGAUAAAAGCAACCAAUGAAAACAAACAUUUGUUAUUUCUAAAUUGUUCCUUGUGCAUUUUUUUGGGGUAAACCCCACAUUCUUUUUUCACCUAAACUUUACCUAAUAGUAUCACCACACAUACUCAGCUAUAAUCAACAACAUUGGCCUUGUUAUGUUCAAAAGUGCAAUUACAAAGUUAAUGCGACUUUGUAAUUGUAGGUCUGCAGUAGGUGUGUAAGUCUUUGAGAAUGGUUAGAUUAGCUACAUAUCCUGUAGUUUACCUGUUGACUCGUUGAUGUUCACGGCGUCACUUUUGAAAUUGUCUCUGAAGGUGGAGGACACGGCCACCUUGUAUUCAGUGUUGGGAAUCAGUCCAGUCAGAGGGUGUUACGGUUUUCUAUGUGCGAAGGAGAGUCGGACCAAAAUGUGGCGUGUAGAUUACGAUCCAUGUUUAAUAAACAAAAGUCAAUACGAAUCAAUUACAAAAACAACAAACGUAACGAAAACAGAAACAGCCUAUACUGGUGUAAAUUAACACAGAACAGGGACAUAAGGACAAUAAGGACAAUCACCCACGAAACACUCAAAGAAUAUGGCUGCCUGAAUAUGGUUCCCAAUCAGAGACAACGAUCAACACCUGCCUCUGAUUGAGAACCACUUCAGACAGCCAUAGAUACACCUAGAACACCCCACUAAGCUACCAUCCCAAUACAUGUGAAAAAAAACCAAGACAAAACACACCACAUACAAAAACCCAUGUCACACCCUGGCCUGACCAAAUAGAUAAAGAAAACACAAAAUACUAAGACCAGGGCGUGACAAGAGUGUAGGUGUUCAUGUUACCAUUCACCAGCAUCUUCACCAUGGAGAGAGAAAGAGAGAGAUCAAUUUUAGCAGGCAACAGGAGAAAAAAGCAGAUGGCCAGACAGCCAGACAGACCUCUUUAGUGUCUCCUCCUCUGGUUGGGGUCCAGGUGAGUCUGUAGAGGACCAUGUCUUGGGCUGAGUGUUCCCAGGUGACCCUGAAGCUCUCUGUGGAGACUUCACUGGUCUUUAGGUUCAGAGGCUCUGGGACUGUCUCUGGAUUACACACAAAGGAUAAAUGGCUCAGUGUUUUUAGAGCAUGGUGCUGGCAACACCAGGGUUGUUUGAUCAAUUUCCGCAUGUGUUACAUAUGAAUAAAUAAACGUGUCACAGUCAAUGUUGAGAGUGACACACUCGCUUUGGGUAAAAGUGUAUGUGUUACCUCACAACCCUAUCGUCUGUGGAAAAGUCUAUCAAAAUUACAUUUUUACACUAAAUCCUAUCAUUAAAUUCCUAAGAUAAAGAAAAGCAGCUCAGGACAAGAGCAAUAGAGAAUUACACUAGAGUAGAGCAAUAGAGAAUUACGGUAGAGUAGAUCAAUAUUUUGGACUAGCAACUCUCUGGCAAUCAAUCAAUCUCCUUUAGUACCACUCCACCACAGGUACUAUACAGCUCUCCAAAACUAACAGCUGGGGAGAAUAGAGGAGAGGGGAGGGGAGAGGCAGUCUUACUGGUGGUAAAUCAGCCAGUCAGGGGCUUGGCUUGGCGACCUCCAUCAUACAAAGCCAAGAUGAUCACAGUGUACUCUGUCAGUGGCAUCAGGUUACUAAGCAACACUGGGGUGUCGUUGCAUCCACAUACGCCCUAUGGUCAAAGAAGAGGUAAGGUUAAAGGUGAGUGCAAAUUUAUCUCAUCUCAAAAAAUAUGUACUGUUGAUGGCAUUCUUGUCCAGAUACAGUCUUUACAUCCUGGUCAAUAAUUGAAAGCAUUCAUUCAUUUUAAGAAUAACAAUAACGGUACUGGGAUGUCACACGUUUACCAUGUGAUUUGUUCUCAGGUAAAGAAAAUCUUGUUGGAAAGUGCAUUGAUAUAUACCCAUUGAUACUUCAAGAAUAUAACUUAGAAAUGCCUCAUGAACGUAGUUGUUGUCGUACCUCAUCAGAGCCCAAAAUAUAAUCUGUAAAACAAAUUUUAUUUGUCACAUGUGCCGAAUACAACAGGUGAAGACCUUACAGUGAAAUGUUUACUUACAGGCCUUUAACCAGCAAUGCAGUUUUAAGAAAAAUAUGUGUCAGCAGUCAGGAGCUGCCAGAGCCGCCCGCCAGUCAGGAGCUGCCAGAGCCGCCCGUCAGUCAGGAGCUGCCAGAGCCGUCCGUCAGUCAGGAGCUGCCAGAGCCGCCCGUCAGUCAGGAGCUGCCAGAGCCGUCCGUCAGGCAGGAGCUGCCAGAGUCACCCUUCAGGCAGGAGCUGCCAGUGUCACCCUUCAGGCAGGAGCUGCCAGAGUCGCCCUUCACUCCGGCACUGCUGGAGUCGCCAGCCUGUCCGGCGCUGACGGAGUCUCCCGUCUAUUCGGGGCCCGCUGAAAGGGUCCCAGUCCGAGGUCGGCGGCGAGGGUCGCCGCUCCAAAGGCGCCACCUAAGUGGACCGAGACUAAGGUGGAGUGGGGUCAGAGCCGCCAGAGCCGCCACCACGGACAGAUGCCCACCCAGACCCUCCCCUCUGGGUUUAGGUUUUGCGGUCGGAGUCCGCACCUUUGGGGGGGGUACUGUCACGUCCUGACCUUAGUUCCCUUUGUACAUCUCUAUAUUAGGUUGGUCAGGGUGUGAGUUGGGGUGGGCAUUCUAUGUUUUGUGGGCAUUCUUGUUUUUGUGUUUAUAUUUCUAUAUGUUUGGCCUGGUAUGGUUCCCAAUCAGAGACAGCUGUCAAUCGUUGUCUCUGAUUGAGAACCAUACUUAGGUAGCCUGAUUUCCCACUCUUGUUUGUGGGUGGUUAUUUUCCGUUUCAGUGUUUUUCACCAUACGGGACUGUUUCGUUUUUUCUUUAUUCGCUUGUUCGUUUGUUUUCUGUGUUGAGUGUAAUAAAUAUGACGAACACCUA